rnacentral:rRNA from 1 species
GAUAUGAUAGUGGCGCACGGGUGCGUAACACGUAUGCAACCUACCUUAUAGACGGGGAUAGCCUUUGGAAACGGAGAUUAAUACCCGAUAGUAUAUAUUGAUGGCAUCAUUAGUAUAUUAAAGAUUUAUUGCUAUAAGCUGGGCAUGCGUCCAAUUAGUUAGUUGGUUAGGUAAUGGCUGACCAAGACGAUGAUUGGUAGGGGAACUGAGAGGUUAAUCCCCCACACUGGCACUGAGAUACGGGCCAGACUCCUACGGGAGGCAGCAGUAGGGAAUAUUGGGCAAUGGAGGCAACUCUGACCCAGCCAUGCCGCGUGCAGGAUGAAGGCGUUAUGCGUUGUAAACUGCUUUUAUAUAGGAAGAAACAGACCUUGCGAGGUAAUUUGACGGUACUAUAUGAAUAAGCACCGGCUAACUCCGUGCCAGCAGCCGCGGUAAUACGGAGGGUGCAAGCGUUGUCCGGAUUUAUUGGGUUUAAAGGGUGCGUAGGCGGUUUAUUAAGUCAGUGGUGAAAGACGGUCGCUCAACGAUUGCAGUGCCAUUGAUACUGGUAGACUUGAGUGAGAUUGAGGUAGCUGGAAUGGAUAGUGUAGCGGUGAAAUGCAUAGAUAUUAUCCAGA